GAGUUUGAUUAUGGCUCAGAUUGAACGCUGGCGGCAGGCCUAACACAUGCAAGUCGAGCGGUAACAGGAAUAGCUUGCUAUUCGCUGACGAGCGGCGGACGGGUGAGUAACGCGUAGGAAUCUGCCCGGUAGUGGGGGAUAGCCCGGAGAAAUCCGGAUUAAUACCGCAUACGCCCUAAGGGGGAAAGCAGGGGAUCUUCGGACCUUGCGCUAUCGGAUGAGCCUGCGUCGGAUUAGCUUGUUAGUGGGGUAAUGGCCUACCAAGGCAACGAUCCGUAGCUGGUCUGAGAGGAUGAUCAGCCACACCGGAACUGAGACACGGUCCGGACUCCUACGGGAGGCAGCAGUGGGGAAUAUUGCACAAUGGGCGCAAGCCUGAUGCAGCCAUGCCGCGUGUGUGAAGAAGGCCUUCGGGUUGUAAAGCACUUUCAGCAGGGAGGAAAGGUUGUAAAUUAAUACUUUGCAGCUGUGACGUUACCUGCAGAAGAAGCACCGGCUAACUCCGUGCCAGCAGCCGCGGUAAUACGGAGGGUGCAAGCGUUAAUCGGAAUUACUGGGCGUAAAGCGCGCGUAGGCGGCUUGUUAAGCCAGAUGUGAAAGCCCCGGGCUUAACCUGGGAACUGCAUUUGGAACUGGCAGGCUAAAGUACAGAAGAGGGUGGUAGAAUUUCCUGUGUAGCGGUGAAAUGCGUAGAUAUAGGAAGGAAUACCAGUGGCGAAGGCGGCCACCUGGUCUGAUACUGACGCUGANGUGCGAAAGCGUGGGGAGCAANCAGGAUUAGAUACCCUGGUAGUCCACGCCGUAAACGAUGUCGACUAGCCGUUGGGACCCUUGAGGUCUUAGUGGCGCAGCUANCGCGUUAAGUCNACCCCCUGGGGAGUACGGUCNCAANAUUAAAACUCAAAUGAAUUGACGGGGGNCCCCCACAAGCGGGGGANCAUGUGGUUUANUUCNAA
rnacentral:rRNA from 1 species